rnacentral:lncRNA from 1 species
GGGACGAAAGCAACUCGAUAAAUCUUGCAAAAAGAAAAAGCUUGUCUUCCAUCACGCCAUAACAUUUGCAUGGUAAACAAGAAUAUAUCAAAUGUCUCAAUCGGUUCUAAUCUACUAGAUUCUAGGUAUCAAUCGGUUCUAAUCUACUAGAUUCUAGCAAGGUAAUAUAUGACAAAAUAUGUGAUUGAUUAAGUUGGAUAGUUAACCAAAAUUGGCCAAGGCAACAUAAAUUAAGCUCAUGUAUUCCUAUGGGAUGAAAAAAGUUCACUGCAUACCUUUUUGCUUCCUCUUCAAAAUAGCUUGCUCUAAAUCAGUUUCCAACAGAUAUUAUGCAUUACUCCACCGUCUAAGUAUCUUUCCCGUCUACUUGAAGCCGAUCCUCUUGGUAUCCUUCCCUCCAAAAUCUGAAUAUCAGAAAUAAUCCAUAUCAGAUUCUUGACAUUCUUUAUUCAAGAUUUUCUUCCAUCACUACUUGGCUUCUUUAAGCUAUUUUUUCCAGCUGUCCGGAUUAGUUUUUCUCCGCUUGUAGGUGACGUAGCGGACAACCUUGCUUGUGAGACCCAGGCAGUUUAUCUUAUCUAUUUUAUCCAUCUGAUAAUUAGUAUUUCUCCGCUUGUAGGUGACAUAGUGAACAACCUUGUUUGUCAGACCCAAGCAGCUUGUCUUAUCUAUUUUAUCCAUCUGAUAAUUAGUAUUUCUCCGCUUGUAGGUGACAUAGUGAACAACCUUGUUUGUCAGACCCACGCAGCUUGUCUUAUCUAUUUUAUCCAUCUCACAAUUGGUUUUUCUCCGCUUGUAGGUGACAUGGUGAACAACCUUGUUUGUCAGACCCAGGCAGCUUGUCUUACCUAUUUCAACCAUCUCACAGUGAAGCUUUCUCCGCUUGUAGGUGACAUAGUGAACAACCUUGUUUGUCAGACCCAGGCAGCUUGUCUUACCUAUUUCAUCCAUCUCACAAUUAAGCUUUCUCCGCUUGUAGGUGACAUAGUGAACAACCUUGUUUGUGAGACCCAGGCUUCGUGUCUUACGUAUUCCAUUCAACGUACAACUAGUUUUUCUCCGCUUGUAGGUGACACAGUGAACAAUCUUGUUUUUAAGACCCAGGCAGUAAGUCUUACCUAUUUCAUCCAUCUCACAAUUGACAGCAUAAGUUUCAGACUCUCCAUCUACUGAUUUAUACUGCUGCUCACAUAUAUCAAAAGCUUUCCCUUUAAGCUUCUUGCCUUUUAAAACAUCACUUUCAUUUUCAACCAUGUUUUUCCCUAGAUCACUUCCAUAAUUCCUCAACCUCUUCUCUUGGUCAUUAUUUUCCUCUUCAGAUGACAAGUCAACUAAAUUGCUUGAUUCCUCACCAUUCAUUUCGUGUUUCCUCUUUUGGAGUAAUUCUAUUAGAUCCAUAAGCUCUCUGUUGACCUGGAGCAAAAAAU